rnacentral:pre_miRNA from 1 species
AGGAACAACAACCACGGAGGUGGCGACCAGCUCUCCAGCCCUGGAUUCAGCUCCUGCAGUAACUGCGAAGUUCUCCGUCUGCAGGGCCUGGAGGCUCCGGGGCGGG